CGAUAGCUAUCGGGAGGAGCGGCAUCCUUUUUAUUUUAUGUCCUGAGGCUAUCGGGAUAUAAAAUAAAAAGAUAUAGCGUCCCGAUAGCCAUC
rnacentral:misc_RNA from 1 species